rnacentral:rRNA from 1 species
GACGAACGCUGGCGGCGUGCUUAACACAUGCAAGUCGAGCGGUAAGGCCCUUUCGGGGGUACACGAGCGGCGAACGGGUGAGUAACACGUGGGUGACCUGCCCUCAGCUCCGGGAUAAGCCUGGGAAACCGGGUCUAAUACUGGAUAUGACUCCAUGACGCAUGUUGUGGGGUGGAAAGCCUUGUGCGGCUGAGGAUGGGCCCGCGGCCUAUCAGCUUGUUGGUGGGGUGAUGGCCUACCAAGGCGACGACGGGUAGCCGGCCUGAGAGGGCGACCGGCCACACUGGGACUGAGACACGGCCCAGACUCCUACGGGAGGCAGCAGUGGGGAAUCUUGCGCAAUGGGCGAAAGCCUGACGCAGCGACGCCGCGUGAGGGAUGACGGCCUGGUGUAA